UGGGGAAUAUUGCACAAUGGGCGAAAGCCUGAUGCAGCAACGCCGCGUGAGUGAUGAAGGCCUUCGGGUUGUAAAGCUCUGUCUUUUGGGACGAUAAUGACGGUACCAAAGGAGGAAGCCACGGCUAACUACGUGCCAGCAGCCGCGGUAAUACGUAGGUGGCAAGCGUUGUCCGGAUUUACUGGGCGUAAAGGAUGCGUAGGCGGAUUUUUAAGUGAGAUGUGAAAACCCUAAGCUUAACUUGGGGACUGCAUUUCAUACUGGAAAUCUAGAGUGCGGGAGAGGAGAAUGGAAUUCCUAGUGUAGCGGUGAAAUGCGUAGAGAUUAGGAAGAACACCAGUGGCGAAGGCGAUUCUCUGGACCGUAACUGACGCUGAGGCAUGAAAGCGCGGGUAGCAAACAGGAUUAGAUACCCUGGUAGUCCACGCCGUAAACGAUGAGUACUAGGUGUAGGAGGUAUCGACCCCUUCUGUGCCGCAGUUAACACAAUAAGUACUCCGCCUGGGAAGUACGAUCGCAAGAUUAAAACUCAAAUGAAUUGACGGGGGUCAUAGCUGUUUUUCCU
rnacentral:rRNA from 1 species